AAAGAGCGAUAUCUAGUGCGACACGCUCAACUGAGAGUCAUCGAGUCUUUGAACGCAACUUGCGUCCCGCAAGGGACAUGUCUGUUUGAGCACGCGCACAUAUGCUUGCUUUGCACAGCGAGCGAGUUGGGGCGCAGAGCGCUCUGGAAGACAGCAGACAGACGACGCAGUCGCCGCGGGCCAGGCGCAAGCAGUCACGGCACGGCGUUUGUCUGUAAGGCAAAGAUAGCAUUGCAUAGCAUUGCAGAGAAAGAUUGCAUAGCAUUGCAUUGCAGAACAAAGCGUCUCAAACCAGACAAGACCACCCGCUCAACUUAA
rnacentral:misc_RNA from 1 species